UACGUAGGGUGCAAGCGUUGUCCGGAAUUAUUGGGCGUAAAGAGCUCGUAGGCGGUCUGUUGCGUCGGCUGUGAAAACCCGGGGCUCAACUCCGGGCCUGCAGCCGAUACGGGCAGACUAGAGUUCGGCAGGGGAGACUGGAAUUCCUGGUGUAGCGGUGAAAUGCGUAGAUAUCGAGAGGAACACCUGCGGCGAAGGCGGGUUGCUGGGCUGAUACUGACGCUGAGGCGCGAAAGCCAGGGGAGCGAACGGG
rnacentral:rRNA from 1 species